GACGAACGCUGGCGGCGUGCUUAACACAUGCAAGUCGAACGGAAAGGCCCUGCUUUUGUUGGGUGCUCGAGUGGCGAACGGGUGAGUAACACGUGAGUAACCUGCCCUUGACUGUGGGAUAACUUCAGGAAACUGGGGCUAAUACCGCAUAGUAGCUCCUGCUGCAUGGUGUUGGUUGGAAAGUUGCGGCGGUUGGGGUUGGACUCGGGGCUUAGCAGCUUGUUGGUGGGGUAGGGGCUUACCAAGGCUUUGACGGGUAGCCGGCCUGGGAGGGUGACCGGCCACAUUGGGCCUGAGAGACGGCCCAGACUCCUACGGGAGGAAGCGGUGGGGAGUAGUGCGAAAUGGGCGGAAGGCGUAUGCAGCAACGCCGCGUGCGGGAUGACGGCUUUAGGGUUGUAACCCGCUUUCGCCUGUAAAGAAGCGUGAGUGACGGUAAUGUAUAAAGAAGCAACGGCUAACUACGUG
rnacentral:rRNA from 1 species